rnacentral:rRNA from 1 species
AGUGAACGCUGGCGGCAGGCCUAACACAUGCAAGUCGAACGGCAGCACAGCAGUAGCAAUACUGUGGGUGGCGAGUGGCGGACGGGUGAGGAAUACAUCGGAAUCUACCCUGUCGUGGGGGAUAACGUAGGGAAACUUACGCUAAUACCGCAUACGACCUACGGGUGAAAGCGGAGGACCGCAAGGCUUCGCGCGAUAAGAUGAGACGAUGUCGGAUUAGCUAGUUGGCGGGGUAAUGGCCCACCAAGGCGACGAUCCGUAGCUGGUCUGAGAGGAUGAUCAGCCACACUGGAACUGAGACGCGGUCCAGACUCCUACGGGAGGCAGCAGUGGGGAAUAUUGGACAAUGGGCGCAAGCCUGAUCCAGCCAUGCCGCGUGGGUGAAGAAGGCCUUCGGGUUGUAAAGCCCUUUUGUCCGGAAAGAAAAGCAUCGGGCUAAUACCUCGGUGUUCUGACGGUACCGGAAGAAUAAGCACCGGCUAACUUCGUGCCAGCCGCCGCCGUAAAAC